AUUGAACGCUGGCGGCAGGCCUAACACAUGCAAGUCGAGCGGAUGAAGGGAGCUUGCUCCUGGAUUCAGCGGCGGACGGGUGAGUAAUGCCUAGGAAUCUGCCUGGUAGUGGGGGAUAACGUCCGGAAACGGGCGCUAAUACCGCAUACGUCCUGAGGGAGAAAGUGGGGGAGCUUCGGACCUCACGCUAUCAGAUGAGCCUAGGUCGGAUUAGCUAGUUGGUGGGGUAAAGGCCUACCAAGGCGACGAUCCGUAACUGGUCUGAGAGGAUGAUCAGUCACACUGGAACUGAGACACGGUCCAGACUCCGACGGGAGGCAGCAGUGGGGAAUAUUGGAGAAUGGGCGAAAGCCUGAUCCAGCCAUGCCGCGUGUGUGAAGAAGGUCUUCGGAUUGUAAAGCGCUUUAAGUUGGGAGGAAGGGCAGUAAGUUAAUACCUGGCGGUAUUGACGUUACCAACAGAAUAAGCACCGGCUAACUUCGUG
rnacentral:rRNA from 1 species